GUAAUUAUGGAUCUAUUCAACCUUGUAUUCCAUCCAAACCCUGGUAUCUGAAACAUGGGAACUUCAAUAAAGGCACAAUUUCUGUAAUUACUCGCCUACGUCUGGGUUUUGUCGCCACCCCAGUAUUUCUUGCCAAAAUUCGUAUUUAUGAUCAUUCCUUGUUGCCUCGAUUGAUAUCAUCAGCUACCGGUCAUUUGUCAAUCACACUGGAUUCCGUCUAUCUAGUUAACUGCUACUCAAAAUUUUAGUCUCGUUUUAUAUACUUUCAAUUAUCUUCAACCUUGACGUUGGCGAAAUCAUCGAAAUAACGAUGGGGUCCACUAAACAUUAAAAGAAGAAGAAGAAGAAGAAGACACAUGUUAACAACAAAAUAAAAUUUUCAUAAUUUUAGGCGGAUGAAGUCGCACGGAAACAGCUAGAUGUCUAUAAAAUAAAUUGUAUGUAGAUAGUGGGAAUCCACGGUUAUUCCUACACGUUCCUUUUCUUUCCAGCAGUCUAUGCGCAUUGAAUAAUUUCUACUUGAUUACUUGUAAGAAUGUUAGAAGAAAUGAAUAAAAAUAUGUAAAACAUUAAA